UGUUGUCAAACAGUAGGAGUGUGGAGAGCAUCCAUCCUCAGAUCUUCUCGCAGGAGCAUCUCUAAUACAGCAGAGCACAAGCAGGCCAACAACUAGAGCCUUCUACUACUGGUGCAGUGUCAAACAGCAGUCACAUUACUGACAGUGUUGCAUAAAGGCUAAUAUAAAAAGUCACAUCUGAGACCUAACAGGCUUCAGUGUAGAUGCAUCUUCCAGUGGGGCUGAACAACAUGGGACGGCCGCGUUACGCGUCAUUGUUGUUUCUUAUCUGCUCCCUUGUUCAGACAAAUGCAUUGACAACAUGUGGAACCAAGCAGUUCCAGUGUGGGAAUGGGAAAUGCAUCUCAGCGAGAUGGGUGUGUGAUGGCACAGAUGACUGCGGAGACGGCACAGAUGAACUUCCUGGUACCUGCAUUACCAAAACGUGUAGACCG